UAGGGAUGAUUGUCACGUCUGCUUUGAUCAUAUGGAAAGCUUUGAUUUGUGUCACUGGAAGUGAUUCCCUUGUCGUGGUUGUUCUCUCCGAAAGCAUGGAACCUGGUUUUCAGAGGGGUGAUAUAUUGUUCUUGCACAUGAGUAAGGACCCCAUUCGAGCUGGCGAGAUUGUUGUUUUCAAUAUUGAUGGUCGUGAUAUUCCAAUUGUCCAUCGUGUCAUUAUGGUAAAGUUUCUCUAGAUUUCCUCAUUAUCACCUAUAUGAUUCUGAUUUUUUCAGGUUAUUAUCUGAAGUAUCAAAAUAUGAAACCUGAUCGGGUUAUUUGCUGGAUAUGUAACAAAUCCAAUACCUUUAUUUUGGUUGGGUUCAGCUUUGGAUUCGUGUUUCAGUUUUUUAUGUCCAUGCCUAAUUCUUAGGGUGAAGAAUGACACACAACUCUCAUGAUAAACAUAAAAUUUUGUUGUAAAUU